AGCGUUAUCCGGAAUUAUUGGCGUAAAGAGCUCGUAGGCGGUCCGUCGCGUCUGGUGUGAAAGUCCAUCGCUUAACGGUGGAUCUGCGCCGGGUACGGGCAGGCUGGAGUGCAGUAGGGGAGACUGGAAUUCCCGGUGUAACGGUGGAAUGUGUAGAUAUCGGGAAGAACACCAAUGGCGAAGGCAGGUCUCUGGGCUGUUACUGACGCUGAGGAGCGAAAGCGUGGGGAGCGAACAGGAUUAGAUACCCUGGUAGUCCACGCCGUAAACGGUGGAUGCUGGAUGUGGGGCCCAUUCCACGGGUUCCGUGUCGGAGCUAACGCGUUAAGCAUCCCGCCUGGGGAGUACGGUCGCAAGACUAAAACUCAAAGAAAUUGACGGGGGCCCGCACAAGCGG
rnacentral:rRNA from 1 species